UUGGAAGUGUAAUAGUUCAACUCGCAACUGAUAUUUAUUGGAUUUUAGCAAUUUUUGUUGAACUGUGGGACUGAAUUUCAGAAUUAGGAUGAAAGUGGGAAGGAAAGGAAGUGUACAAAAGGUUAGGUUUUGUGGGAUUGUGAAGGACUUGUGCCAGAAUACCAAUUUUUAGUGUGUGCCCAAAUGGUGACCAACAAAAUUUAGAUUUAAAAAGGAAACAAUGAAAAAAUAGCUUCAAUCAAAUUCAUGGUCUACUAAACUUCCAAAGUUACACAUUUUGCCACAUCUUCAUCAGCAGGUCAACUGCUUCAAUUUUAAGUCAUACUAUCCUAACUUCCUCUGCCCAGUUAGUUACUUUUUAUUGUAUUAAACAUAGAUCAUUGAUUUCUGAUGGCAUGAAGAUAUAUGGUUUAG
rnacentral:misc_RNA from 1 species